GUACCUUUUGGUUCGGAACAACUGAGGGAAACUUCAGCUAAUACCGGAUAAGCCCUUACGGGGAAAGAUUUAUCGCCGAAAGAUCGGCCCGCGUCUGAUUAGCUAGUUGGUGAGGUAAUGGCUCACCAAGGCGACGAUCAGUAGCUGGUCUGAGAGGAUGAUCAGCCACAUUGGGACUGAGACACGGCCCAAACUCCUACGGGAGGCAGCAGUGGGGAAUAUUGGACAAUGGGCGCAAGCCUGAUCCAGCCAUGCCGCGUGAGUGAUGAAGGCCCUAGGGUUGUAAAGCUCUUUUGUGCGGGAAGAUAAUGACGGUACCGCAAGAAUAAGCCCCGGCUAACUUCGUGCCAGCAGCCGCGGUAAUACGAAGGGGGCUAGCGUUGCUCGGAAUCACUGGGCGUAAAGGGUGCGUAGGCGGGUCUUUAAGUCAGGGGUGAAAUCCUGGAGCUCAACUCCAGAACUGCCUUUGAUACUGAAGAUCUUGAGUUCGGGAGAGGUGAGUGGAACUGCG
rnacentral:rRNA from 1 species